rnacentral:rRNA from 1 species
UACGGGGGGGGCAAGCGUUGUUCGGAUUCAUUGGGCGUAAAGGGCGCGUAGGCUGCGGGGCAAGUCGGGUGUGAAAUCUCAGAGCUCAACUCUGAAACUGCACUCGAUACUGCUUUGCUUGAGGACUGGAGAGGAGAUUGGAAUUCACGGUGUAGCAGUGAAAUGCGUAGAUAUCGUGAGGAAGACCAGUGGCGAAGGCGGAUCUCUGGACAGUUCCUGACGCUGAGGCGCGAAGGCCAGGGGAGCAAACGGG